UACGUAGGGAGCGAGCGUUGUCCGGAUUCAUUGGGCGUAAAGAGCUCGUAGGCGGCUUGGUAAGUCGGAUGUGAAACCUCCAGGCUCAACCUGGAGUCGCCAUCCGAUACUGCCAUGGCUAGAGUCCGGUAGGGGCCCACGGAAUUCCUGGUGUAGCGGUGAAAUGCGCAGAUAUCAGGAGGAACACCGAUGGCGAAGGCAGUGGGCUGGGCCGGCGCUGACGCUGAGGAGCGAAAGCGUGGGGAGCGAACAGG
rnacentral:rRNA from 1 species